rnacentral:rRNA from 1 species
UACGGCCUACGGGGCGCAGCAGUAGGGAAUUUUCGGCAAUGGGGGGAACCCUGACCGAGCAACGCCGCGUGAAGGAAGAAGGAAUUCGUUCUGUAAACUUCUGUUAUAAAGGAAGAAAGACGGAUGGAGGAAAUGACAUCCGAGUGACGGUACUUUAUGAGAAAGCCACGGCUAACUACGUGCCAGCAGCUGCGGUAAUGCGUAGGUGGCAAGCGUUAACCGGAAUUAUUGGGCGUAAAG